CGGCCUGUAGUGCAGGGGACAGCACGGCUCUCCCCUCAAGAGCAGGCGGCGGUUCGAGUCCGUCCAGGCCGG
rnacentral:tRNA from 1 species